rnacentral:rRNA from 1 species
GAUGAACGCUAGCGGCAGGCUUAACACAUGCAAGUCGAGGGGCAGCGCGGGAUAGCAAUAUCCUGGCGGCGACCGGCGGAAGGGUGCGUAACGCGUGAGCGACAUGCCCGUUGCCCGGGGACAACCGGUGGAAACGCCGACUAAUCCCCGAUGGGAUAUUGUGCCGCAUGGCACGAUAUUGAAAGUUACGGCGGCGACGGAUUGGCUCGCGUCCGAUUAGCUGGUUGGCGGGGUAACGGCCCACCAAGGCUGCGAUCGGUAGGGGUUCUGAGAGGAAGGCCCCCCACACUGGGACUGAGACACGGCCCAUACUCCUACGGGAGGCAGCAGUGAGGAAUAUUGGUCAAUGGGCGGAAGCCUGAACCAGCCAUGCCGCGUGCGGGAAGGAGGCCCUAUGGGCUGUGAACCGCUUUUGCCUGGGGGCAAUAAGGGCGUCGCGCACGUCCGAUGAGAGUACCAGGCGAAUAAGCAUCGGCUAACUCCGUG